rnacentral:rRNA from 1 species
GACGAACGCUGGCGGCGUGCCUAAUACAUGCAAGUAGAACGCUGAAGGAGGAGCUUGCUUCUCUGGAUGAGUUGCGAACGGGUGAGUAACGCGUAGGUAACCUGCCUGGUAGCGGGGGAGAACUAUUGGAAACGAUAGCUACUACCGCAUAAUAGUAGAUGUCGCAUGACAUUUGCUUAAAAGGUGCAAUUGCAUCGCUACCAUAUGGACCUGCGUUGUAUUAGCUAGUUGGUGAGGUAACGGCCCAACAAGGCAACGAUACAUAGCCGACCUGAGAGGGUGAUCCGCCACACUGGGACCGAGGCAACGCCCAGGCUUCUACGGGAGGCAGCAGUAGGGAAUCAUCGGCAAUGGACGGAAAUCUGACUGAGCAAAGACGGGUGAGGGAAGGAAGUUUUCCGAUCGGUAAGCUCUGUUGUAUGAGAAGGACGAGUGUGAGGUUAGAAAGUUCACACUGUGACGGUAUCUUAAGAGAAAGCGACGGCUAACUACGUG